GAUAAUAUAUGGAUUUUUAAUCUGUUUUAAAAAAGUCACUGGUGAGGUAACUGUCUAAUGAUACACUGUGACAUAGUAACAACUCUAUUGUAUACAAGGUCAUUACUGGAUCCAGAGAAGUGUGUCAUAUCUGCCAGGGCUAUUACACCUCCAUGCCUGCAGAGGGCACUCUCCCCCAAAUACUAGUUCACUUCUUCCAUUGCUUCAUCACUUCCUGUUCACAGACUAUAUAAAGCACAUGCACAACUCAUGCACACACUGUGAAGUCUUGCUGUUACUUUUUCUUUCAGCACAGUUCGUCAUUCCAUCAGGACGCCUCUGCCUGGAGAUCACUCACGCCGUUCUCUGGAGCUCCAUGCUGCUGUGAUAACCACAGAGCGCUGAAGAUUGAGCUGUGGUCCAGCAUGAAGGAACCUGAACCAGACUUCCAGCCUAGUCGCCUUUGAGGCUUCUCUUUGGGUUUUUUUCAGCCCAGAAAUGAGCUCCGCCAACAUUUUUACCCCUGUUGUUCAGCAGUUGUCCAACAUGGAGGAACCUGAAUCAGCUGUAUGGCCGAGUCGCCUGUGUGUGUGUGUGUGUGUGUGUGUGUGUGUGUGUGUGUGUGUGUGUGUGUGUGUGUAUGUAUGUAGGAAUGCCAUCUGUCAACCAAAGGUUAGCAGUAUGGGCUGAUGGAAAGGCAACAUCUGAGGCUUUAGUCUCACUGGGUUGUAUAACAUGGCUGCAUGGUUCCUGUGUGUGUGUGUGUGUUUACUUUUUUCCUACAUUUACUUUCAUGCAGCCAUGAGUGAGUGGUCAGAUAUAAAUCUUAAAUAAAGAACGUGUGGCGGUCCUUGUCUGGUCAUGGUUACAUUGGUUUAAAUUAGGAUACUACUUUGUUUACAUUUUGGUAAAUAGAACCAAAAAAGUUGUUAGAAAACAUCGCAGACAGGAAGGUGAUAACUGGAUUACAAAAUCAUUCCUGUACAACAUCUGUGGAGUGAUGUAGCUGAGGUUGAGGAGCUGUCAGGGCCAGAAUUCACACACCAUGCUGACAGUGUUGGCAUUUCCAAGUUUGGAUUUUCCAGUGUUUCCGAGGGCAACGCCCACUGUGGCCACGCCCACUUCAGUGUCCGAUUCAGGUUCAAAUCUGAAUACAGAUACUAAUAUUUAGAGCACUAAUCAGAUACAGAUACAGAUGCAGAUAGUGCCAUUGCGUUACACCCCUAAUACACGGGGGUUUGGCAGAUUUGACACGAGACGGUGAUGAGGGUUUGGAGCUGAAUGCUGAAUGAAGGUCAGGAGGAGCCUCUAGGAAGAACACUGAAAAUAAACAAAGGAAGAGCUCUAGGGUUGGUGUAAGCACUGUGUGUUGUGUGUGUGUGGGAAAGAGGGCAUGAUGGGUAAAGUUAACACACUAUGACAAUAGGAAACUAAAAGUCUGUCUAGUACUAGCACUACAGGAGGCAUGAUGGGGGGAAAAAAUGAAUUUUAAAAACUGCCAUUCAAUGAUUUUAGACAAACCAAUCUGGAAGGCACAAGACCUGGAUGACAUGCACCAUUUCCCCUCAUCUCCAUGUCAAAAGCAAAAAGCAAUAGCUGCAGUUUUGGGGCACUUUGUUCAGCUGUAAUGUUUGUUCAAGCCCAAGAGCAAGCACUUGCAGAAUCUAGUUUCAGACAGCUGGAUGGAAGCUGACAAGCAGCACAAGACACUCUGACAUCUGCAGAUAGAAGUGAAAUGUCGAGUGCACAACGAGACAAAAACUGCUCACACAAGGAAUUAGGAAUUGUUCUGACAAAUAAAAUAGUGUUAGAGACUUUUUUCUCCCAAAAUAUUCCUCAGAUGUAAAACUCAUAAGGUGUACACUGCAUUAUGAAUAUUAAAUGCGUGGAAAUCAAGUCCUUAUUAUAAACACUCCACCUGCCAUCAUCAACGCUUUCACAAACAAGCGUGAAUAUUGCGUGCUCUUUAUUUUGUUAUGAUUACCCUCGGUAAUCUGAUGGAGCCCUCCUCUGCUCGGCUGUGAUUUGAGGGAUAGGCCGUCUCCGACUGCGCCGAGGCAUGUAAGGCUCAUUUGAGACACGGCAGCGAGAGGCGCAAUCAACACAGGAACAGCGUCGACUCUGGGCCCGAAAAUGCGAUGUUAAUUUAGCCAGAGCCACUUGAAAGUCAGCAGGAUCCUUCUUAAUUAAUGUAGAAUGACUUUCAGUCUGUGCCGGCUCACAGCCUCCAGACCCUGCACUCUCAGACCCAGGCACAGGGCAGAGGGGCAUCACAGGGGGCCACAAAUCAUCAUUACAUCAUUACAUCAUUACACACUGGCAAUAUUACACUAGCACAUCCUCUAAACAGAGGACUCAUAACAAAUAUCAUUACAAAUAUGUAUAUGUUGAAGCCUUAUAUAUACCAUGUAACACGUUUUACAUUUGUGGAGCUGUAGUAAAAAGUAUUUAUGUUGUUAGGUUUAAUUCCUGUAAUUAACCUGAAAGGAAAUGAUAUUACGAGAUGAUAUUCUGGAUAUUGUGACCUGAGAGUACCACAGUGAAAUUAAAAGUGCUAAAAAUGAACAACGUUUGAGAAUUUGCAACAAAACGAUUUCGAGUAACAUGAACUCCACCUUUAACUAACUGCAUGUGAAGUUUUUUUUUUAUCUACCUUCA